GUUGUGGCUCAGUGGUAGAGUGCUUGCCUAGCACAUGUCAGGCACUGGGUUCAAUCCUCGGCACAACA
rnacentral:tRNA from 1 species